AGUGAACGCUGGCGGUAGGCCUAACACAUGCAAGUCGAACGGCAGCACAGUAAGAGCUUGCUCUUACGGGUGGCGAGUGGCGGACGGGUGAGGAAUACAUCGGAAUCUACUUUUUCGUGGGGGAUAACGUAGGGAAACUUACGCUAAUACCGCAUACGACCUACGGGUGAAAGCAGGGGAUCUUCGGACCUUGCGCGAUUGAAUGAGCCGAUGUCGGAUUAGCUAGUUGGCGGGGUAAAGGCCCACCAAGGCGACGAUCCGUAGCUGGUCUGAGAGGAUGAUCAGCCACACUGGAACUGAGACACGGUCCAGACUCCUACGGGAGGCAGCAGUGGGGAAUAUUGGACAAUGGGCGCAAGCCUGAUCCAGCUAUACCGCGUGGGUGAAGAAGGCCUUCAGGUUGUAAAGCCCUUUUGUUGGGAAAGAAAAGCAGCAGGUUAAUACCCCGCUGUUCUGACGGUACCCAAAGAAUAAGCACCGGCUAACUUCGUG
rnacentral:rRNA from 1 species